UACGGAGGGGGCGAGCGUUAUUCGGAAUUAUUGGGCGUAAAGGGCGCGUAGGCGGCCCGGUAAGUCAAAGGUGAAAUCCCUCGGCUCAACUGAGGAACUGCCUUUGAAACUGUCGGGCUUGAGGCCGGGAGGGGGUGGCGGAAUUCCCAGUGUAGCGGUGAAAUGCGUAGAUAUUGGGAGGAACACCGGUGGCGAAGGCGGGUCUCUGGGCAACAACUGACGCUGAGGAGCGAAAGCGUGGGGAGCGAACAGG
rnacentral:rRNA from 1 species